UACGGAGGAUCCGAGCGUUAUCCGGAUUUAUUGGGUUUAAAGGGUGCGUAGGCGGCCUUUUAAGUCAGCGGUGAAAGUCUGUGGCUCAACCAUAGAAUUGCCGUUGAAACUGGGGGGCUUGAGUAUGUUUGAGGCAGGCGGAAUGCGUGGUGUAGCGGUGAAAUGCUUAGAUAUCACGAAGAACUCCGAUUGCGAAGGCAGCUCACUGGACUGCAACUGACACUGAGGCUCGAAAGUGUGGGUAUCAAACAGG
rnacentral:rRNA from 1 species